GGUUCUAUAGUGUAUUGGUCAUCACGUCUGCUUUACACGCAGAAAGUCCUGGGUUCAAUCCCCUCUAGAACCA
rnacentral:tRNA from 1 species